rnacentral:lncRNA from 1 species
CAAGAAUUCCAGGCAGAAUAACCAUCGGUUGUCUACAGAAAGCUGAUAUGCGUAGAAGAGUUGUGCCUUUGCCGGAUUCCAUACAAGAGCUACUUGAUAUCGGUGCUGAGAAAUUUGGCAUCUCUCUCACUGAAGUACUAACUGAAGAUGGAGCACUUAUUGAGGACAUUGCACUGAUAAGAGAUGGAGAUCAUCUAGUUCUUGCUACUUCAGAAAAUUAAACACAGCUCAAUCAUACAUAUUUCAGAUUGACCUGUAAAUUUUGUAUAGUUGAUGAUAGAUCACUAACUAGGCAAUGUAAUUACCAAACAUAGGAAUUUUAGUCAUUGGAAGAAAAUGUAUAGAUUUUUACAGAUAACAAAGUUUUCUCCUCCAUUAUAUACAAUCAGUUUUUUUUUAGACACCGCCAAAUAUAUUUCUAUUAAAAAGACCUACAAAUAGAAUAUCAAAGCAGAAUUGGUUGUUCAAGAGAAUUUCCACGAGAAAAGAUCAUGGUGUGGCUGAGGGUACAAUUUAACAUAGUCAGCUUUGCAUUAUGCUUCAAUAUAUCAACGUUAUCCUGUUCUCGUCAUAACUCAGACCAGAGAACAUACUAAUCUAGAAGCUGUCAAUGUUGAUUUUAGUUGGUCACAACCAGAUAGGCUGUUAACAUUGAUACUGCACUUGGUGUUUUGAAGACUUAUUCCAUUAUGUUAGACAGUACUAUUACUCUUCUUUAUUUACUCGUACUAUGCUUUAAGGAGCAGGUUUUGUGCAUUUUAAAAAAUUUUAAAAAAACUGAGUUAGCAAUUGUUUUUGAGUUCCUGCAAGCUCUUUGUUGUUGCAGUUUUUUGUUAUUAUUCUAUUGUUAAGCCAAAACCUCUUACAAACUAAAGGUUCAGACUAGAAUCAAAUGUUACUAAUCUAAGUUUAUUUCUGUAGUUCUCAUGGCUACACCCUGUUCAUUAAAAAAUUAUAAUGCUAUGAGGAUUUGAAGACCAAAUUGAUACGACCGGAAGAACGGGAACAAAAAGAGUAAUUUACUAGAAACAAUGGAGUAUACAAUUUUAUUGCUUUCCUUAUCACAUAGUUUUGUUCUUGCAUCAACACUCACAGUUGGGUUAUGAUUUCGAACGCAAAACCAUAUAUUAGUUAUUGGUGCAAGUGUUUUCAUCAAAGGUAGAAAAAGUUGGCCUUUCUUCUCAUCAUAUAAAUUUGUUAAUGGAUUGAGUUAAAUUCAAGUCAUUCUCUUGACUAAUGAAACAAAACACCUAUGUCAGUGGAAAUUGUAGGAGAAUGAGAAGACAUACCUCCAUUGGACUCCGGCGAAUUGCCCUCUUCACCUUCCAGAAGCUUCAUCGGAACCGCUCUUCACUUUCCCUUUUGAGUUAGGGUUUUCACCACCGUAUGAAAGGCGAGAAAUAAAAAGUAAAGAGAUCGAUCCUUGCGAUGCUGCUCUCACUCCGGCGACUCUCCGAGCUAUCGGAGAAGAUGAUUGACAACAGAGGAGAGAAGGGGUUUGUAGCACUUUCU